rnacentral:rRNA from 1 species
GUAGUCAUAUGCUUGUCUCAAAGCUUAAGCCAUGCAAGUCUCAGUACGAGCUGACUUAAAGUGAAACCGCAAAAGGCUCAGUAAACCGGUCAUAGUUUACCGGAUAUAGCCACUCACGUGGAUAACUGUGGUAAUUCUAGAGCUAAUACAUGCAAACAAGUCCCGACCAGCGAUGGAGAGGACGCUUUUAUUGGAUCAAAACCAUUCGCCCGGCUUGCCGGGCGUCGGCUUGAUGACUCUAGA